rnacentral:tRNA from 1 species
GCUCUACGUGCCGGAACCGUUCUUUAUUGAAGAGCGCGACGCGAACAAUGCCCGCCGCCUGGCGCAGUGGCAAAGC